GGGUGUAGAAUAAGUGGGAGCUUCGGCGCCGUUGAAAUACCACUACCUUUAUUGUCUUUUUACUUAUUCAAUGAGGCGGAGCUGGGAUUAACAGUCCCACCUUUUGGCUUCAAGGUCUUUUACAGGCCGAUCCGGGUUGA
rnacentral:rRNA from 2 species